UACGAAGGGGGCUAGCGUUGUUCGGAAUUACUGGGCGUAAAGGGCGCGUAGGCGGCCGCCUAAGUCAGACGUGAAAUCCCUCGGCUCAACCGGGGAACUGCGUCUGAUACUGGGUGGCUUGAAUCCGGGAGAGGGAUGCGGAAUUCCAGGUGUAGCGGUGAAAUGCGUAGAUAUCUGGAGGAACACCGGUGGCGAAGGCGGCAUCCUGGACCGGCAUUGACGCUGAGGCGCGAAAGCCAGGGGAGCAAAGCGGG
rnacentral:rRNA from 1 species